AGUCUGAAAACCGUUGUCUAUUAUAACUAUAGACAACGGUUUUGAAAAACCGUUGUCUAUUUAGGGCGGUCAUAGACAACGGUUUUGGAAAAAUCGUUGUCUAUAAAAGAGGAGUUUUUUCCUACAUUUUUCUCUCUCUUCUUUCACUAAUUUUUUUUUACUAUUUUUUUCUUUAAUUUUUUUUAAGAACAUCAUCAAAUUUAAUUCAUAAAAAAAAUACUUAAUACUACAUCUUAAAUUUAAGUUAAUGAAAAAAUAUUUAAUAUGGUAUAAAAAUCAUAAAAAAUAAAUAAAUUAUUAAAAAACAAAAUUAAAAAUAUUUUAUUUUUUUUCUCUUCAUUAACAUUUUAUACCCAUAUUAAACAUUUAAACCCAACACUAACCCAAUUUCCAUAUACUAAAAAAGUUCUAUUUUUUUAAAUUCAUAAAUUUUCACUUUAAAUUCAUAAUAUUUCAUAGAACAUUAAAAUUAACCUAUUCUCUACAAUAACUAUGAUUUGUAUAAUAAUCAAUCCCCAUAUAUAUCCUUUUGAUUUUUAGUGAGUUAGUAAUUCCGCCUCUAUAAUUUGCUAGUAUUUCUUAUUGGGCAAUUUGAUAGUUUUUAUUUAUUUAAUAUGAUUAAUAGUAUUUAAGUAUUAACAUAUUCUAGAAUGUGGGGUUAAGUUUGUAUACAAUUUAAAAUUAAGUUAAUGUCUAAAAAACAAACAAUAUAAGGUAAUAAUAUAUCUCUCUCUCACUAUUCCCCUUAUCUGCGCCGCGCCCCCUCCCCUCCCAUCUCACUAUCUCUCUCUCAGAUUUCAUCCCUCUCUCUCAGCCCUAGGUCCCGCCGGCCAGCCACUUUGCUCCAUCGCCGGAGCCCGGCAGCUCCAUCGCGGCCAACCGCCAUCUUCUCCCUCCUCUCCCUUUUCUUUCUAUCACUUUCUCUCUUCUCACACCCAACGCACACACCCAGAUCCGCACUCAAAUCAGCGGCGUGGGUGCCGCCGCUCGUCCUUCCCGGCAAAGCAACGGCGAUAAGCCGCUGACACGCCAGGCUCUCCCUUCUCUCUCUCGGCGGCAUAACCGCCUCAUCUCCUUUACCCCUCUGACUUAGAUCGGCGACGGUGAGAGCCUCCGCCGUCUGAGCCCUAGCCCCAAUCACGGCUCCCACAGAAUCCUUCGGCCGCCGCCACCGCUCGUUCUCCCCUUCAAAUCUUCAACCGACAGCAGCAGAGUCGCGGCCGCCGCCGUCCGUCUGCCUUGGUACAGCCUCAUCGGCGAUGCUGUCACUCAAGGGAAAGAGAGCAGCACAGAUCUGGUGGCCUUGGGGUGGUUGAAGUGGAGGAAGCCGCGCGGAGAGGUCGAGGUGCCGAGGUACUGCGAUAAGGCGCCGGAGACUACUAUUAUAAAAGGGUGUUAAAGCUCAUAUUUUCCUUUCAAACUCAGACGAAAAUCUGCAUCCUAAUCAUUCUUCUCCUGAUUUUCUUCUGCUGCGGCUACUAGAAGUGAUCGAGUCGCGGAUGGUGGAGCAAUCGGAGGAGAGACCGGAAUACAUGAAGGUGUCCUUGGAUAUGUUCUCGUUGAUCUCCUGCGUUAGAGGGACGUUCUUCACCAUAUUCUAGUUUGAUGAAUAAUAAGUUCAAAUGUUGGAUGAAAUUUGUGAUGUUGGAUUAAAUUUGUUUGAAUGUAAUAUUGGAUUAAUAAUGUUUGAAUGAAGAUUCAAAUGUUCGAUGAAAUUUGUGAUGUUGGAUGAAAUUUAUUUGAAUGUAAUAUUGGAUUAAUAAUGUUUGAAUGAAUGUAUGGAUUUUUAUUAUUAAUAUAUGCAUUUUUAGUUUUCUAUUA